rnacentral:rRNA from 1 species
CCUCCAUCCGUGUCUAUUGUACCCUGUUGCUUCGGCGGGCCCGCCGCUUGUCGGCCGCCGGGGGGGCGCCUCUGCCCCCCGGGCCCGUGCCCGCCGGAGACCCCAACACGAACACUGUCUGAAAGCGUGCAGUCUGAGUUGAUUGAAUGCAAUCAGUUAAAACUUUCAACAAUGGAUCUCUUGGUUCCGGCAUCGAUGAAGAACGCAGCGAAAUGCGAUAACUAAUGUGAAUUGCAGAAUUCAGUGAAUCAUCGAGUCUUUGAACGCACAUUGCGCCCCCUGGUAUUCCGGGGGGCAUGCCUGUCCGAGCGUCAUUGCUGCCCUCAAGCCCGGCUUGUGUGUUGGGUCGCCGUCCCCCUCUCCGGGGGGACGGGCCCGAAAGGCAGCGGCGGCACCGCGUCCGAUCCUCGAGCGUAUGGGGCUUUGUCACAUGCUCUGUAGGAUUGGCCGGCGCCUGCCGACGUUUUCCAACCAUUCUUUCCAGGUUGACCUCGGAUCAGGUAGGGAU